GCACUUGCCCGGCGGUCUGGAGCCAGAACAUCAGGGGCUGACUGGCAGGGAGCACCUGGACCAACGAGGCUGUGAGGGGCUCUAGUGAGCACAUGCUCUCCCAGAGGGGACCCGUGCUGGAAGCCAGGUCGGGCGGAGAUAAGCUGGAGAAGCCAAGCUGCGACAAAGGCCCCUGAUGCGUUGGGGGGCGGAGCGGGGGAUCGCCGGCUCUGCCCAUCUCCACACUCACUGCCGACCUGCCCAAAGAACCAGCCUGGCCCCUCUCCCUCAGACUGCCACUCUUCCAGUGUCAGGACUUGGAUUUCAGGCGGGGCCUGCCGGCCACAGCCGGGCUAUCUCUUUAAGUGGCAGCCACCCCAGGGAAUACAGCAGCCUAAUAGACCACCGUUUGGGGCAGAAAUGUCGCACGAAAGGAAGGUGACGACCAGCACAAGUUCAGCCCAUGCCCACCUUACAGGAAGCAAAGUGCUAGGAGGAAUGGUGGUGAGGCCCCAGAGCGGCCUGCCUCCCACAGGCGGUGUUGUCUGCAGAGCGCCCACCUGUGGCCGGGGGCUAUCACUGCAGUUGGGUCGGCAGGAGCUACUUUUCCUAACACCCCCAGAGCUCCCCAUUCUCAGGCAUUGAAAUGAGUGCUGCCACACAGCUGGAGUCUGUCCUGUGACGACUGUGAGGCUGGACAAGCAGAUGCAAGGAAGCAAACAUCUUCGAGUACCUCUGGGAGCUUAAAAGAGUGAAAACAGACCCAAACCUGAAAAACAUGACAGUCUGGUAACUGGAGUAAAAGCAUAGUCACAGUUACAAAAGUUCUGAGGUGCAGAGGGAGAAGGAAUUGUAGAAACUGGCUGUUGCUGGUGCUGCUAAUCAGGAAAUAUGUGGCGUGCCCCAGGGAGAGACCGGCCUGAGACUAAAUGUUUUCAGAUUAUUCUGCGGCCGUGUGUGGGAUGGGCUGCAGGAGACCUGGCAGGAGUCCUGAAAGGCCAGGCAGGAGGCAAGAAGGGACCCAGGGAAGAAGCACCGGCCCCUGAGGGGCUGUGGUGCUGAGGAAGGAACCCAGCAGGACUCCCGGAAGUUGAGAUGGAGUGAGAGGGAGCAGAGCAAGGGUGCAGUUUUUGCUUAGCCUCGUGGCCAAAGGGCACCGCAGGGAUGAGAGCACUCAGGGCACCUUGUGCUUUUGAAACUGAUAGGAAAGGAACACCUUGUUUCCCACCAAACUCAGAUUCUGUACCCUGGUUUGGCGUGUACCCUGGGGUAUUUCUGUGGACUCCAGUUCCCCCUAUGAUGAUAUAUUUAACUCCCCUGUUAGGACUUCAGAGCUCAUCAAAAGCCCUUAAAAAUGUGCUAACAGCCCUUAAUGAACUCUGAAGCCUUCAAUUAAAUUAAACUGUCAGAAAUAAAGCCCUGACAGCAGUGCCAAGGGCAUGGGGGGUGGGGACAGUGGCAGCUCAGAGGCCAGAGCUCUGGUUUCACUUCCUAUCUGGAAGAGCCCUUUUGGAGAAGGGGGACCCAGCAGUAUGGCCCCCUCCACCGACACCUCUCACAGUCCUGGGCCACUGCACACCUCCCUUGGCCAAAGUUUGGGAAGAGAAAGCGGGCCCAGCUUCCCUGAGGACACACAGGCCCCUUGUUCGCCAAGAAGUCUGCCUUGACUUCGGUGUCAGGGCCGAGUGCCAGGCAGGGCAGAACCCUUGGGCUGCAGCCUCUUCCUGCUGGGAGGGUGGGAGUGCAGCCAGGAGCUUGGGGGGACAGGGUGGUGGAGCUGGUCAUUUGUAGAGAACUCAGUCCUCGGGCUGUGGGGUGAGGACAGAGUGGAGGGGGGUGACCGUGAAGACAAAAGAAAGAUGGGGCACUGUCUCCACCCCCAGGCUUAUGAAAGAAGGGAUGAACCGGCAAAGGAAAAUGGCCUUUCUCCAUCUCGGCCAACAGUCUGGGUGUCCUGGCUCC